rnacentral:rRNA from 1 species
UACGUAGGGUGCAAGCGUUGUCCGGAUUUACUGGGCGUAAAGAGCGCGCAGGCGGUCGUUCAAGUCGCGUGUGAAAGCCCCCGGCUCAACUGGGGAGGGUCACGCGAUACUGAUCGACUCGAAGGCAGGAGAGGGAAGUGAAAUUCCCGGUGUAGUGGUGAAAUGCGUAGAUAUCGGGAGGAACACCAGUGGCGAAGGCGACUUCCUGGCCUGUUCUUGACGCUGAGGCGCGAAAGCUAGGGGAGCAAACGGG